UGAAGAUCUAAUAAUUCUACAAGAUAUUGUAUUUUCGAUUACGAAAAACUUUCAUGCAUGGAGGGGAGAGGAUACGACAAGUUUGACAGUAAUGAAUUAGUUUAGCCUUAUAUCUCGUAUUAUGUUUUGGGUAAUUGGUUUUGACUUGAUUAAAAUGUGGAUGAUUUUGUGACUGUAUAAAGUCUUGUAUUUUGUUUGUCUGACAAUCGAUAAGUAUUCUAUUUAUUUUUUAGAAUGUUUCUCAAAAUUUUUGAACGUCUAUUACUGUGUAUUUUGAACGAGUUUGUGCAUUGUUGACUAUGCGAUUAUAGAAUUGUUGGAUAGUUUUUUAUUUAAA